AUUUGUGUUGCAGUGGUCGCCAUCGAAGAAGAGAAAGAAAAAGAAGGAAUCUACCAUUUGUGCUGCAAUUGUAGCCAUCAAAGAAGAGAAAGGAAAAAGGAGAUAAGGGUUAUAUUGUUGAGACAAAGGUGAUGGAUCUAGUAGAAAGUAAGGGAAGGCACCAAAUAAAUGAGUCGUGAAGGCUCUUUUGUGCUCUUUGAGCAUAGAUAUGUUAUUUUGAAUUAUCAUGAUCCUAAGACUUUCAUUUUAUUUUGCUAAGAUACAUUAAGGAUUUAUUUUGAAACUAUGAAAUGCUUUGUUGUUUGGAGAUACCCAUACUCUUUCCAGUUGGUUUGGACUCCAAAAACACUUAUGGGCUAUUUAUAAAAUACUUUUGUUAAUUA